GAUUAAGUUAUUAAGGGCGCACGGUGGAUGCCUUGGCACUAGAAGCCGACGAAGGACGUUACUAACGACGAUAUGCUUUGGGGAGCUGUAAGUAAGCUUUGAUCCAGAGAUUUCCGAAUGGGGAAACCCAGCACGAGUUAUGUCGUGUUAUCGAUAUGUGAAUA
rnacentral:rRNA from 1 species